rnacentral:rRNA from 1 species
AUUGAACGCUGGCGGCAUGCCUUACACAUGCAAGUCGAACGGUAACAGGUCUUCGGACGCUGACGAGUGGCGAACGGGUGAGUAAUACAUCGGAACGUGCCUAGUAGUGGGGGAUAACUACUCGAAAGAGUGGCUAAUACCGCAUGAGAUCUACGGAUGAAAGCAGGGGAUCGCAAGACCUUGUGCUACUAGAGCGGCCGAUGGCAGAUUAGGUAGUUGGUGGGAUAAAAGCUUACCAAGCCGACGAUCUGUAGCUGGUCUGAGAGGACGAUCAGCCACACUGGGACUGAGACACGUCCCAGACUCCUACGGGAGGCAGCAGUGGGGAAUUUUGGACAAUGGGCGCAAGCCUGAUCCAGCAAUGCCGCGUGCAGGAUGAAGGCCUUCGGGUUGUAAACUGCUUUUGUACGGAACGAAAAGCCCUGGGUUAAUACCCUGGGGUCAUGACGGUACCGUAAGAAUAAGCACCGGCUAACUACGUGCCAGCAGCCGCCGCCGUAA